AAAUUGAAGAGUUUGAUCAUGGCUCAGAUUGAACGCUGGCGGCAGGCCUAACACAUGCAAGUCGAGCGGUAGCACAGAGAGCUUGCUCUCGGGUGACGAGCGGCGGACGGGUGAGUAAUGUCUGGGAAACUGCCUGAUGGAGGGGGAUAACUACUGGAAACGGUAGCUAAUACCGCAUAACGUCGCAAGACCAAAGUGGGGGACCUUCGGGCCUCAUGCCAUCAGAUGUGCCCAGAUGGGAUUAGCUAGUAGGUGGGGUAACGGCUCACCUAGGCGACGAUCCCUAGCUGGUCUGAGAGGAUGACCAGCCACACUGGAACUGAGACACGGUCCAGACUCCUACGGGAGGCAGCAGUGGGGAAUAUUGCACAAUGGGCGCAAGCCUGAUGCAGCCAUGCCGCGUGUGUGAAGAAGGCCUUCGGGUUGUAAAGCACUUUCAGCGGGGAGGAAGGCGGUGAGGUUAAUAACCUCAUCGAUUGACGUUACCCGCAGAAGAAGCACCGGCUAACUCCGUGCCAGCAGCCGCGGUAAUACGGAGGGUGCAAGCGUUAAUCGGAAUUACUGGGCGUAAAGCGCACGCAGGCGGUCUGUCAAGUCGGAUGUGAAAUCCCCGGGCUUAACCUGGGAACUGCAUUCGAAACUGGCAGGCUAGAGUCUUGUAGAGGGGGGUAGAAUUCCAGGUGUAGCGGUGAAAUGCGUAGAGAUCUGGAGGAAUACCGGUGGCGAAGGCGGCCCCUGGACAAAGACUGACGCUCAGGUGCGAAAGCGUGGGGAGCAAACAGGAUUAGAUACCCUGGUAGUCCACGCCGUAAACGAUGUCGAUUUGGAGGUUGUGCCCUUGAGGCGUGGCUUCCGGAGCUAACGCGUUAAAUCGACCGCCUGGGGAGUACGGCCGCAAGGUUAAAACUCAAAUGAAUUGACGGGGGCCCGCACAAGCGGUGGAGCAUGUGGUUUAAUUCGAUGCAACGCGAAGAACCUUACCUGGUCUUGACAUCCACAGAACUUUCCAGAGAUGGAUUGGUGCCUUCGGGAACUGUGAGACAGGUGCUGCAUGGCUGUCGUCAGCUCGUGUUGUGAAAUGUUGGGUUAAGUCCCGCAACGAGCGCAACCCUUAUCCUUUGUUGCCAGCGGUCCGGCCGGGAACUCAAAGGAGACUGCCAGUGAUAAACUGGAGGAAGGUGGGGAUGACGUCAAGUCAUCAUGGCCCUUACGACCAGGGCUACACACGUGCUACAAUGGCAUAUACAAAGAGAAGCGACCUCGCGAGAGCAAGCGGACCUCAUAAAGUAUGUCGUAGUCCGGAUUGGAGUCUGCAACUCGACUCCAUGAAGUCGGAAUCGCUAGUAAUCGUAGAUCAGAAUGCUACGGUGAAUACGUUCCCGGGCCUUGUACACACCGCCCGUCACACCAUGGGAGUGGGUUGCAAAAGAAGUAGGUAGCUUAACCUUCGGGAGGGCGCUUACCACUUUGUGAUUCAUGACUGGGGUGAAGUCGUAACAAGGUAACCGUAGGGGAACCUGCGGUUGGAUCACCUCCUUACCUUAAAGAA
rnacentral:rRNA from 1 species